GGUCACAUCACUUUGAAACACCGGUUCCCGUACGAUCUCCAAAAUUAAGCAACAUUGAGCCUGAUUAGUAUUUAGAGGGGGUGACCGCUUGAGAAUACCAGAUGCUGUAAG